rnacentral:rRNA from 1 species
AGCCAUGCUAGUCGCACGAGUUCAGACUCGUGGCGAAUAGCUCAGUAACACGUGGCCAAACUACCCUUCGGAACACAAUACCCUCGGGAAACUGAGGCUAAUAGUGUAUACCAUACCACCACUGGAAUGAGUGGUAUGCCAAACGCUCCGGCGCCGAAGGAUGUGGCUGCGGCCGAUUAGGUAGACGGUGGGGUAACGGCCCACCGUGCCAAUAAUCGGUAUGGGUCAUGAGAGUGAGAACCCAGAGACGGAAUCUGAGACAAGAUUCCGGGCCCUACGGGGCGCAGCAGGCGCGAAACCUCUACACUGCACGACAGUGCGAUAGGGGGAUCCCAAGUGCACAGGCAUAGCGCCUGUGCUUUUCGGUACCGUAAGGUGGUACCAGAAUAAGGGCUGGGCAAGACCGGUGCCAGCCGCCGCGGUAAUACCGGCAGCCCAAGUGAUGGCCGAUCUUAUUGGGCCUAAAGCGUCCGUAGCUGGCCGCGCAAGUCCAUCGGGAAAUCCACCUGCUCAACAGGUGGGCGCCCGGUAGAAACUGCGUGGCUUGGGACCGGAAGGCGCGACGGGUACGUCCGGGGUAGGAGUGAAAUCCCGUAAUCCUGGACGGACCGCCGAUGGCGAAAGCACGUCGCGAGGACGGAUCCGACAGUGAGGGACGAAAGCCAGGGUCUCGAACCGGAUUAGAUACCCGGGUAGUCCUGGCCGUAAACAAUGUCUGCUAGGUGUGGCUCCCACUACGAGUGGGUGCUGUGCCGUAGGGAAGCCGCUAAGCAGACCGCCUGGGAAGUACGUCCGCAAGGAUGAAACUAAAGGAAUG